GUAGAGCGGAAAAUGCAAUUUUUUUUAAGAAGCACCCAUUAAAUGCAUAAUUGUCAUUCAUUUAUUUUAUCCUGUGUAUUUAAUAUUUAUAAAUGAUAUUAUGUCUAAUUGAAAUCUGUAAUAAUAUAUAUAUAUAGUUCCCUGUAUGAAUUUGUUAUAGAUUAAAAUGAAAUGUUUUGUUUCAUUUGGGAAUAUUUCAUAGACUACCAUGUUUUUGUCUGUUUAAAUUAAUUGUAUACAUUGUUGUAUUUUGAACAAUAUUAACAUUAGUAUUAAAUGAGCGUCUAGCAAUAGCCAAAAGUAUGUAUCGGGAUAAACUUAUUUUAUUUGGGUUCAUUUACAUUCAAGUAGAAUGCAUUUUUAAGGUGUUUAUUAUUAGUAUAUACCGUAGGACUUUAAGAUAAUAUUAUUUUCAAUAAUGUAGUUGUAUUUUGCUUUUGUUAAUUAUUGCUAAAUAAAAAUUAGAGUUUGAUAUAGAUAAUACUGGGACAAUGCUACAUAUAUAUGCCUAACAGAAUGUGUCCUGCAUUUAGAAAGUGACUUAAUAUAAACAUACUUGAGCUGUGAUUUGGAAGAAUAUGUAUUCAAUACAUGUGCAUAUAGGAUUGUCCCAGAUGAGUCUAUGAGCGCUAAUGAGGGACGACAGUUUCUCUUGCUUUUAUUAAAUUUCAGUCUUCAGAAGUAAAUUAGGGGCCAUUCGUUAUAGGUCAAUAUUUAUGCAUCUAAAACUUGAGAAUAAGCAGCAACAGUUUAUGUUCUUUGAUCAAUUACUUAUGAUUGGAUUGAGAUAAUGUGCUGAAGAUUUGUGGAAGUGUAUACCCAGCUUACAUACCCUACCUGGAUUCCAUUUCGAGCCAGUUGGGUUAAAGUCUAUGUCACUAUUAUUAAAAUUAGACAAACUACACUCAGUAACACCGCUUUUAUAUUAGGGUAUUGUUCCUAAAUUGUAUGAAUUGUUAGCUCACUGCUUUUAUAUUAGGGUAUUGUUCCUAAAUUGUAUGAACUGUUAGCUCACCGCUUUUAUAUUAGGGUAUUGUUCCUAAAUUGUAUGAAUUGUUAGCUCACCGCUUUUAUAUUAGGGUAUUGUUCCUAAAUUGUAUGAACUGUUAGCUCACCGCUUUUAUAUUAGGGUAUUGUUCCUAAAUUGUAUGAAUUGUUAGCUUACGUGUAGAUCUAGCUUGGGAAAACUAGAUACAAGUCAAAGUCACUGUAAGUUAAUUAAAAAAUUCCGCUUACAUAACUUAAAUUGUAUGAAGAAUUUCCGCUGUUUUUGUAGGUGUAGGUAGAUUCCACGCAGUCUUAGGUGAUGUAAGCGUGUAUUUCAAUCCCUCUGACACCUUACAUGUAAAACAGAAUUAGUUUGCAUUAUAUUUAAUUGAGUCUUAUAAUGUGAGCAUAUUGUUCCUACUGAAAAUGUUUGUAAGGGCAGUGCAAAUUGCAAAAUAUUGUUACUUGUCUUUUAUUCAAGAAAAUGCUGUGGGUAUACCACGUACACUACUUUAUGUAUGGACCCACCUUUUGUCUUCUUGAUCUCGACUGCUCUGUAUACAUGUUAUUCUUAUACUUAUUUCUUAUUGCAUUUGAUAAAUGUUGUAUUGAUGAGGAAGAUCAAAUGUUCAUUUUACUGUCUUGAACAAGUUUAGGUUACAGCUAAUUUCAUAAAACAAAAUUGCCACAUAAUAAUGCAUAGUUUAUUAUGUAACAUGAAACUUUUCUAUGUGUCAUAAAAUACAACAGUGUACGAAACCAAUUUGCCAAAACACUUUUAGUUUUAAUUUCUAAAUCUUGUAAUAUAUAAAUGUGUGUCUUUUGUGACACUAUAUUAUGUUGGCAAUGUAUGCUUAUGAAUUUCUAUUAAACGCAAAUGUUAUUAUUUAUUUAAAUAAAGACUAAUAAUAAAUAAUGUAAACAAUU